GAACAUCUUAGAUUAAAGGAAGGAUGUUCAAAAGUGUUUUUUGUGGCACCUUUCUAGGGUAUAUCUUGGCUUUGUAAGAACAUUUGGCCUGUGGGUCGAAAUAUAUUCCUGAGUGGAAGCCUUCUUCCUAUUCCUUCCCUUUACAACCCUCGUAGCAGGUGGAUGAAGGUCGAUUGUGGGACUAGUCAUGGCGGCAACAAAAAGACCUGUUGUCAUCACCCUUCUUGCUCUCAGCCAACAAUUUGUGCCUCAACUCCUUGAACAUAUUCUUCUUGCCCAACUUUGCCUCCAUAUGUACCAUUAUCCUUGUAAGUACAAAAACUUAUUCGUAUUAGAUAUAGAUUAGUCUUAACCAGCAAAAGAAAAAGGGAACAUAAAAAACAUGUCAAUUUGAAGAUGCUUUGACACAAGGACUUUAACAAUUUUCCUAGUGGGAAUUCAACGAUGAAGUUGAUCAAGGAUUAUGAGGAUUCUCCUAUUCAUUUCGUUCUUCA
rnacentral:lncRNA from 1 species